rnacentral:tRNA from 1 species
UCCCUGGUGGUCCGGUGGUUAAGACUCUGCAUUUGCAGUUCAGGGGGCACGGGUUCAAUUCCUGGUCAGGGAA